GUUGGCUCAAGGGCUCCUGAACGUCUCAAUGCCAACACCUCAAAAACAUUUGCUUUGAACAGUGACAUGUGGUGUAACAUGUAUGUGACAAUGACAUUGGUUCAGUAUAUCUGCUGCUAAAACAGACUAAACGUGCUGAAAGUUUGAACCCGCUGUGAACACUGAAGCUCCCACAUACGUGCUCUGGGUUUACGUGUCAGCUUCGUUUACACUGAAGACAAUCUUUGAGCAGAAAACUGAGGCCAGCAGCUGCGCGUCACAGAUAAGUCACUUCCAGGAAACAUUAGGAGUGUACACAGAUGCUGGGCUACUGAAAUACAACGUGUGACCCAGAGGAAUAUAUUUUAGAACAGCUGAUUUGCUGUUAAUGAAUCAGCAAGGAGGAAAUCCGGCUACUCCCUGUGAUCACUGUGACCUGCAAGUCUGGAUCAGUAUCCAGGUUCAAGCAUGAUGCACAACCGUGCUCCGUGCGGCCGGCUGUCGACGCUGGCUGAGCCAGAGCGUGGUUACUGUAUCAGCCGGCGUGCGUAGAGGUGAAGCAGCCAUCUGCUGCAGGAGGAUGAUACUUAAUCUUGAACAGGCAGCAAAGCUCUUGGCGUGCAGGCUGACGGCUCGCCAUAUGACCUCCAAGCUGUCACGCAGCAGCUGGAGCGACAGGUGCGUUUGUGUGCUCGGAGGUUAUUGCUGCACAAAUACAGUGGCAGAAAUGAUCAACCACAGACUGCAGUGAUGUGACCGCUUGGACUUUGCUUCUAAGCUCUUUUAAAUCUACAGUAAGAACUUUUCACCAAAACUAUGUGGCUGCAGCUGCUGAUGUGCUGAGCUUCACCCCGGGAAUGAAACAGAGUAAGAUGGCAGUGCUGAUGACCCAGGAGGACAUGGAGGAGGAGCAGAGCUGAUCUGUGAGGAUGAGGGGCUCUGAAGAGAUGAGAUAAGACCCUGCAGGAAGUCCUGCUUUCUUCUCUUGUUGUUGAGUUUUGAGGUUUGAGCUGCUUGUGAAAAGCAAACGUCUUCACACCAAAGUGCCUUCAGGAGUUUCUUUUCCGUCUGCUUUUCGUGUCCAGCUUUUCUGAAGCAAACAAAUUAAUUAUGUGAGUGAAUGUUAAUGAAGUUAACCUCAGUAUAACCUGGUUCUCACUGCUGGUUUCAAAUGAAGAAAGAAAAUUAGACGACAAGCUGCAAUAAAACGUUCCUGCUGGCUUCAGUGUUCAGUUGUGAUUUUAAAAGUUAACCAUGAAAUAAAAGCGUGAAACAUGUUGUUGAUUCUUUCUGAUCUUCAUCCAUCCAUCCAUUCGCUUCCGCUUAUCCUUUUUCAGGGUCGCGGGGGGCGCUGGAGCCUAUCCCAGCUGUCAUAGGGCGAAAGUCUUUCUGAUCUUUGUUUUGUAAAUUCUGGAUUAUUAAAAGUACUUUUGCCCAUUCUUGAUGUUUGUUUAUUCUUUCCUGUUUCCUGUUUUUGCUUCAAAGUUUAGGUGGAGCUGACAGAGACAACAGCACCAUCAGGUGGUUGUUUAGAGGCAACAUAUGAAAAACUAAAAGUGUAACCACAGACGACACAAAAAAUGAAAGUCCCUCCAAAUAUGGCAAACCUGCAUUAAGAUGUCCUCUGGCUGUAAGAGGUCAGGAG
ensembl:lncRNA